AAUAAUCGAGGCCCUGCAACGGGAUGGGAUCCGAAGACUCCUGAAGAUCCCAUCCAACUCCUAUUCCGACAUGUACGAAGUGGACGUGGUGGUAACAUGGGCCCGAAUCCAACCUUUAGGGAGGGUGACGACUCAUGGCUAAAGAAGAAGGG
rnacentral:ribozyme from 1 species